GACGAACGCUGGCGGCGUGCUUAACACAUGCAAGUCGAACGGAAAGGCCCUGCUUGCCGGGUACUCGAGUGGCGAACGGGUGAGUAACACGUGGGUGAUCUGCCCUGCACUUCGGGAUAAGCCUGGGAAACUGGGUCUAAUACCGGAUAGGAGCCAUUUUUAGUGUGAUGGUUGGAAAGUUUUUUCGGUGUAGGAUGAGCUCGCGGCCUAUCAGUUUGUUGGUGGGGUAAUGGCCUACCAAGGCGGCGACGGGUAGCCGGCCUGAGAGGGUGGACGGCCACAUUGGGACUGAGAUACGGCCCAGACUCCUACGGGAGGCAGCAGUGGGGAAUAUUGCACAAGGGGCGCAAGCCGGAUGCAGCGACGCCGCGUGGGGGAUGACGGCCUUCGGGUUGUAAACUCCUUUCGCUAGGGACGAAGCUUUUUGUGACGGUACCUAGAUAAGAAGCACCGGCUAACUACGUG
rnacentral:rRNA from 1 species